ensembl:lncRNA
UGUGCUGCUAGUCUGCCUUGUAGCUGCUGAUAGCCAAGCAUUGCUCCUUGUGUCCUCUCAUCAGCAUUUCGUGGGUUUUGGUUUAUUGCUGUGUGUGAAUGCCAGAAGCCUAUUAUCCCAGCAGGGUACCUGCAGGGGACCGAGUGCUCAGUGAAUACCUCAGGCAGCAGAAACCCAAGAAAGAGGAGGGAGAUGAGGAACCAUCAUGGAAGGACAGGCCCCUGCUCGGUAUGUACCACCGGCAGAUAGAGGAGGUGGCUGAUAUCCAGAAAUCCUACCAGUGGCUGGACAAAGCUGGACUGAAAGACAGCACAGAGGCACUAAUCAUGGCAGCACAAGAACAAGCUCUGAGCACAAGAUCCAUAGAGGCUGGGGUCUAUCACACCAGGCAAGACCCCAGGUGCAGGCUGUGUAAAGAUGCCCCAGAGACAAUCCAGCACAUAACAGCAGGGUGCAAGAUGCUAGCAGGCAAGGCAUACAUGGAACGCCAUAACCAAGUGGCCG